AAGGACUUCUUCUUUAAUUCAUUGAUACGAAACGUAUAGCACCUUCUUCUUUAUGUUUAUUGAAGAUCUAUGCAAACUUUAAUGCCAUAAAAAAAUUAAAUCAAAAGGAAAGCAAAAAUCUCAAUAUACUAAGUUUAGUUAUUAAAUGAAUAAAGGAAAAGUAAAAGGGUAAUAUGAGAAAAACUCAAAACGUGAAACUUAGUCCUCUCCCUCUGGCAUUUCGUCUUCCACGUUUAAUCAACCAUGGCUGAAUUUUCAACAGCACCAAACAAACCAUCCAACACAAAAGUAGAAAACAUAAAAGUGGUUAUGUUUUUCGCCCUCGUCUCAAAUAUCUCAGCCAAAAUACAGACAAACUAUCAACAAGCGCAAAUCGAACCAAAACAGUCUAAAACCCCAAAGUUUAAAAACAAUAUUAAAUGAUUAUCAAGCAAGGAUUCGACCAAUUGGCAAGGGAUUAUUUAUCAAUGAAGCAAGGCGAUCAGAACUGUAUAACGAAAGCUUAGAAUAAGUGAGAAGACUUACCAAAUCGGUGCUAGUCCGACGAAACCGUGACUCCGGUGAUGUGCAACGUUCAGUGUUUGUUGUUCGUUCAUUGAUGGUGAUGAUUUUGAAGAAGCGUUGAUAUUGCGUUGAAUCAGAUGACAGAUGUGAUGUUGUUGCUGAAACUGAAUUGAACCAGAUGCGUCAAUCGGCGAUGCUAGUUGGUGCGCACUGGAUCUUUGAGCGGCGGGGCGAGGUGGUGAUGUCCUCGCCGGCAGAAUCGGAGCUAAGGUGCCGAAUCUGUGUGGCUGUCCGGUAUAGGAAACGGCAGCACUGUUGCGAUCUAACCGACGUUAAUGGUUGGGCGGACAACGGUUAUCGGAAGAGUGAAAAUCGCGGUUGAUGAUGUUGGAGUCGUUUCGUGGGGGCUAGAACUGGUUGCAGUUUAAUUUCAUCUACUUUUCAUUCUGAACUUUCAACAAUCAUUCUAUCAUCUACUUUUCAUUCUGCAAUGUACACAAUCUUAAGAAGAGAUUAAUUUCAACAAAUAAAUAUUUUCCACUGUGAUUUUA